GACGAACGCUGGCGGCGUGCUUAACACAUGCAAGUCGAACGAAGUGGCGGACGGGUGAGUAACGCGUAAUCAACCUGCCCUUCGGGGGGGGAAAACAGUUGGAAACGACUGCUAAUACCGCAUACUGAUGGACGAGUAUGCGUGUGAUUAGCUAGUUGGGGGGGUAACGGCCCACCAAGGCGAGGGUCAGUAGCCGGUCUGGGAGGAGGAACGGCCCAAUUGGGACUGAGACAAGGCCCAGAAUCCUAAGGGAGGGAGCAGUGGGGAAUCUUCCGCAAUGGACGAAAGUCUGACGGCGCAACGCCGCGGGAGUGAUGACGGCCUUCGGGUUGUAAAGCUCUGUUAAUCGGGACGCGGUACCGGAAUAGAAAGCCACGGCUAACUACGUGCCAGCAGCCGCGGUAAUUC
rnacentral:rRNA from 1 species